AUAAAAUAAUGGUGACUUUUUCUGAGUCAAGGAAAAUUAGCAUAAGAGGAGAGUGGAAAAGAAAAAUAAAUAUUUCUGUUUUCCAUGUUGACGUUUUUUCACCUGGUUUAUCACCUUACCUACUGGCUAUGUCAAUUCCAAUUCCAAGUGACCCAGAAUAAGAAUGCAAUACUCAAUUGAAAGAACAAAUUCAAGGGAAAAAUUUUGAUCAACUUUGUCUUCUGUUUAGUCAUGGAAAGAAACAACUGAAAAUUCUCAGGAAAAUAAGACAGCUAGAGGAAAUCCAGGAAAACAGUGGUGAUUAGUAGGUAUAGGAAGAAUUAACUGAUGUUCGAAAGGUAAAGAAAGGCUAGGUGGGUGGAACUGAUUCUUCCUACUUCUAAUUCUGAAAAACUGGUAAAAAUUUGGAGCUACAAGGUGUCCUCAUUUGUCUAUUAAGAAAUAUAGAUCCUCUCUCUUUUUUGAACACAAAAACAAAGAGUAUAUUCCAAAGGAGAUAUAUCACAAUAUAUCAAGAAAUAUUUUUAAGCUAUGAGAAUGAAAUUAAUCAAGCCAAUAAGAUGUUGUAAAAUAGGCCUGAAAUGAUAUAAGGAAACAUGUUUAAGGAAGGUGGAAAUAAAAUGAGUUGCUAUUAAUCUUAAAGUGUGCAUGACAAAAUAUUAAGCAUGAAUGGGUAUACAUACAAUUCUUAAUAUAUAAUAACAGCAGGUUAAACAUUAUGAGAAAGAACAGGGACAUUAUCUGCUUGCAGUGCUUUUUUUAAGUAAGAAAAGUGUAUCCAAACUUACAUGUGUAUUUUGGGAGCUAUUAUGAAGAUAGACAAAUUUGAAGAAGGCAAGUAGGUCUUUUAUGAGACUAGGAUGAAAAGGAUUUUGAGAAAAGAGGAAUAACUUACAGAAGGAUAUAAACUACUGGCACAAAAAUGAGUAGCUAUUCUUCCUAUUGAGAACAAAACAAGAGAAAAUAGGCUUACAUCAUAGAGAAAGGGAUUUAAAUUUUGUACAAGUUAAAACAUCCAAACUAAAAAAGUUUUGAGAUCCUGGUUGGAUAUUUUUGUUUGUUUUUACUUUGAAAAUCAUUAAGUAUAAGUUAUACUCCCAUUUCUGCUUUUAGCAAUGCCAAUAUUACAUAUAGCACUGAACUCUGCUUGUGCUUGAUAUCACAACUGGUAUUUCAGUAUAUAGAGACUUCUUAUGCAAAGAAUGCCAACCAGCUUAUCUGUAUCAAUUUUAAACAAGAGAGUAAAUGAUCUUUAAUUGUAUCAGAAUUUGGUUAACUAUAGAGAAGAAUUUCCUGCUGGAGAGGAAUGUUAAAACCUUGAAAUGAAAUCCUUCGGGACUAGGUAAUAAUGAGUAGAACAUAGGGAGAUGAAGUACAGCUGGAUGAUGAUUGAGUAGGAAUUUCACUGCUCAACUUAUCAGCCAGGUGUGCCCAGAGAGUUUGGUUCAAACACCAAUUACCAUUGGAAUGGAGGGCAAAUGAGAAAGUGGAGUAUUGUGGUAUUGGGGCCAUCAGGGGAAUGAUUUUGGCAUCACUUCAAAUCUUUCUAAGCCCACAUUAGACUAACUUGAACCAGUCAAGGGCCAGUGCUGUUGUCCUCCCUUAGCACAAAACAGAAGGACUUCCAGAACAGGUGAGUGGAGUGAAAAUAACCUCAUAAGUGGUUUACCUCACUAUUAUUUGAACGCUAGGUGCUAUGUCUAAAAACAGCUUUAUAAGCAUUUUCUUAAUUAAGCAUUAUAGGGAACUUGAUAAGGAAAGUGAAGGAAGGUGAAAAAGAUGUUAUUUAAAUUUGUAUUUUACAGAAGAUAUUAAGACUUUAGAUAGUAUAACUUUACCCCAAAUCCCAUAGCAAGUGAAUCAGGUCAGUCUUACUCUAUAGAUAAUAUUUUCACAUAUUCUCAGUCAUUAUACAAUAUGCUGAUUCAACUAGAUUUUGAAAAUAUAGCACAUUUCUGUAAACAAGACCAUUCUAUUUUACUAUGUUCAUUUGUUUACUGAGUUAUUGAUGUACUUAGAAAAUACAAAUGUUUAGAAAAAUGCACUUUCUCAUUAAUAAUUUAGUUACUGAUAAAAUGUCUAAUUUCUUUAUGUUAUGCUAAUUUCAGAUUUUUAAAAACCUUAUUAAUAUGCAUCUAUUAUUUGCUGGAAUUGAAAGAUUAGUCAUUCCCCCUUAUGCAUGAGAAAAUGGAAUAAUCUUUUCUGACAGUUUUUGAAGGAACUGUACUCUGGAGGAAAAACAAAUUUCAAUCAUAUAAAAUUUGCCUUUCAAUAACACAUUUAUGUCCUUUAUUUGCCCUCCAGUAAAAUAUGAUUAUGUUAGAUCACAUUUCUUUAGAUAUAUACAAAUUAGGCAUAUUGCACAAUGGCUAGGAAUUAUUUUCCUAAUGUUUCACAAUAGCUAGAAUUAAUUGAAAUCCUCUAGGAUAUAUGAGGCUGGAAGUGUGUCAUGUUCAUGGUAUAGUAGGAAAUAAUUAGAUCUGCAGUGAAGAGACACUCCCAAUUAAAUCUUUAUGGGAAAAUGAUUCUGAAAUUAGCUUUAAGGAAAUUGAAUGGAAGCAGAUCAUAGGCAAAAUGUAAUACUCAUGCAUAGUAUUAACAAGAAUAUUUUAUAUGUGUGCAUGGAACUACAUCAUCUCCUUUAGAAUCGGGAUAUAAUUUGUGUGACAUAUUAGAGGAAGUGUGGUCUAUAAAAGAUGAACUAAAAAGGAUGGAAAACAUCUUUUUGUCACAACAGGAAGUAAUAGAGCAACAGCCAAUGUCUAGUUUACAAAUUUGUGUAUAAAUCUUAAUAGAAGAAAUUCUGAAUGCAAGUUAAUAUCAUAGAGUUCACAUAAGAUACAGAUUGAUAAAGACAAAAUUUUUGGAGUCCAGUUUUAUUGAGGUGUAAUUUACAUAUAGUACAGUAUAAGUUUAAGGUGUAUAGCAAAUGAUUUGUGUUACAUAUGUUGUGAAAUGAGUACCAUAAUAAUUUUAAUUAAUACCAGAUACCAAUAUCUUAAUUUUAAUAAGAUACCAAUAUCUUAAUUGUUAGAUUCUGACAAUUUCCAAAUUUCUUUAUUAAAUAUAUUUUAUGAAUACAUUGUUUGAUGGACCGCAAGGAAAAUACCAUAAAGAUCUUAUAUUUCUAAAUUGAUUGAUAAGAUUUAUACAAUAAAUCUCUCUUGAAUUCAAGUGAAACAGGGCGAAUUUUUUAAAAGUCUGAAAGAAAUGUAUAUUUGUGAACACUCCAAUUUUUGUUUUAUUGUCUUGUCUCGGAAGUUCUAAUACAACUUCUUUCUUUUUUAUUUCCAACAACAUUUAAAUAAUAUUGUUUCAUAGUGUAAAAUAUUUGUAUAAUUCUUGAUGUAACUGAAGCAUUCUAGAUUGGGCGAUGGGGAAGGGGGGGGCUUUCCUAUUUUAUAAAACAAAACAAAACAAAAAAACACUUAGAUUCAGAGAGGUGAAAUAACUGGCCAAAUCCAGAAAGUCUGGUUGCUGCUUAGUGACAUUUGCAACUAGAAGUGAAUUCCCUACCUUUGAUCUUAAGCCUCUAGUUUUACCUGGAACCAAAAUGCUUCUAAUGGAUAGCUACUUGCUUGUAAUCAUCCAUCCUUGGACAAAUGUUCAGUGUACAGUGGAUAGAAACACUUUUUAAAAGUUAAAUUUGAGGACAUUUAUGCUCAUGCUGAGGUGCGGCUUUAAAUGUUUUCCUGUAUCAUUAUUGACAUUCAAUUAUCUUGUGGAAAGUUUGUGGCCUCCAGGUUUUUGUCAUAACAUUCCAAUUAUAAUUUACAUAGUGCUUCUAGUGAUUGGCAAGGAGAGUGCAGUGUUAUUCACAUGCAGAAUUUCAGUCCUCGAUGAGUAAGCUAUUAUAUAUAAAAGAAAGCAUUUUAAGCAAAUUGAUUUUCUGUGUAGAGCUUUAGCCCAAAAGGGGCUCUGUACAAAAAUCAAGAUCAAUAGUUCUAAACAAAGCUAAAUUGAAUCAUGUCACCGCUUUAAUUUUAUAAGAGUUUUAAUGUAAGAUAAAUAUAAAGUUGCUUUGCAAUCUUUCUUGUUGGUUGUCCUAAUUUCAAUAACAAUUGGUGCAUAUUUCAUUACACCUCUUGCUGUUGACACUAGAACCUCAGGUAGAGUUGACAGUGGGGGAAGCACCUUAUAUAUGGCACCAAAGGCAGAUUACCGGACACACUGUGUCAUCUGUUUAACCAAAACUCUGGUAAAACUCAACUCUAUUGUGAUAACUAAACUGAUGUUAUGGGUGUCAUAUGAAAGAGAGAAAAUGAACAGAGUAAUUCCUGCUACUGUGGAGCAGUUGAGGACAAUGUUUGGGUAGCUUUAUGUUAGCACAUUAAAUUAUGACACUUUUAUUAUAGAAGAUGUGGUAUCUUCAAAGAGAAAGGGUUGAUAUGGAAUGUAAAUGAUUAUUCUGACAAUGCAAGUGUAUUUGUUUCAAUAAUGGAAAUAUUUGGAGAGAGACUGACUGAUGUAAAUAAUUAGCUGGGAGUUCCCGUCGUGGCUCAGCAGUAAUGAACCCGACUAGUAUCCAUGAGGAUGCAGGCUUGAUCCCUGGCCUUGCUCAGUAGAUUAAGGAUCCAGCAUUGCUGUGAGCUGUGGUGUAGGUCACAGAUGCAGCGUGGAUUCCACAGCGUCUGUGGCUGUGGUGUAGGCUGGCAGCU
rnacentral:lncRNA from 1 species